UGCCUCAGCUUCCAUCGUAGCUGGGACUAUAGGCACACAUCACCACACAAGGCUAACUAAAGAAGCUUUUGAAAGAGUUGAAAGUUUAAGAAAAUAUGUGCUAAAAAUGGGAGUAGAAAAAAUGUCAUUCCACAGGACAAUGUAGGAGAUCAGCCUCAACAUUUAUCUACAGUGCCAAGGUGCUAUAGCACCAAGUGAGUGAAGCCUACAGAUCAGCAGUCUUCAGGCAGCGGAGGGAAGAAACAAGCUGUCCAGUUGCUGCUCCCUGUUGAAGAUGGGGGUAUGAUGAAUAGCCAAAACGCAUAAGAAGGCCUUCUAUCAGCCAAGAUCCCAGCAGGAAGCAAAUGGCACACUCCAAAGGGGUAAAAGAAUUAUUGUUGAAGCUAGAUACUGGCUUACGGAUGAGGAAGGAAGGACUGAAAGGAAAAGGAACUAUGGCUUGCCCUGUCUUCCCCUUUCCUUCUAUGACAUCAUUUUUAGUGUAAGUGGUUAGGAAGUAACAGAAGUAACAUGAGUAAGAAAUGAUAUGAUGAGGCUCCUUGGUUGUAUGUGUUUCUCAAAUUGCAUUGCCUUUUGUCUGAAUUUUAAGCAAGUUGUGGUUGAAAUAGAAAGCAUGACAUCUCAGGGUUUUGUCAGUUGUACCUUGUACUUGCUUUGAGUCUCCCUGAAUUCCUAUAUGUAGUGUAUGGGUACAUAGGAAUUCUAUGAUCAUGGGGACGCCGUAAAUACUAUAUUCAAGCAGAGCAACUGGAAAUUGCAGACACAUAUAUUGCAUGUAACCCCUCUGUUCACAUAUAUGCUCCACUUUCCCUUUGAUUUCACUUACAAAACACACAUUCAAAGAUAAAAUGACAUACCUCAGCAUCACGCAAUAUACCCUUAUAAUGAACCUGUAUGUGUACCCCCUAAAUCUAAAAUAACAGUUGAAAUUUUUUUAAAAAAAUAAAAUUAAGAAUUUUAAGACAGUGAAAGAAAAGCAUUAAACCAAGUACAGGGCCCUUCUUAAGAAUGGGGUCCUACUGACUCCACAGUUUGCAUACACAUGAGGCCCACCCUGCUGCCAAUCCAUUGUCAGAGAAAUCAACACUCUUCUCCAGUCCUCCCAUCCCCUGCAGAUGAUCUCACUGAUGGACUCCAAGUGAUAGCAAGGGAGCCAGGGAAGCAUCCACAGAGAGUAACCACCUGGGCUACAGACCAGGGAGAGAAGGGUGGAGAGUAGGUCUGGAGGGGCAAACAGAAUAUGCAGCACAGACUGCUAGCCCCCAAAUCUUUUUCCAACAAAUUAUAUUCCUUUGUAAUCCAGCUAGGAUAAUAAGGGGCAGGUGGACCUCAGGAGUGGGGCCUGGUGCAUAUGCAGUUACGAGCCACUUCAAAAAAAUAAAUACAUAAAUAAAUUAAACCACAAAUAUAAAUUAGGCAUGAAACUGAUUGUUAAUUUAGAAUGAGAAAAGAAAUCAGUAAGUCUCUUUCUUCUGAGGACUCCAGGAAAUUUAACAGAAAUGCCUAUACAGUUCUGUUUUCUAAUUGCCUGCUGGCUUCCCUUCCUCACCUGGAAUAACUUACAACUCCAAGCAACUGCCACCACUCAAAAAGGCCUGGGGAAGUGAGGAGUCCUGAAGCUGAAAUGUUAUUAGCUUUAUGGUAAAUUCCUCUGUGGACCCAAAAACUAAGAACAUAAGAACAUAGUGUUAAGUAACUGUGGAGAAGCAGGCAUUCCCUGACAGGUUAUGAUGUGCCUCCUUUCUCUACUGUGCAUACUAAAGGCAGUGAACCCACAUCUCCAGCUCUUCUAACCUAGCGUUGUUUCACUGUAGUUAGGAAGUUCCACUGAAUUUCACUACAUAGGGAACUGGGAAGGUAAUGGAUAGUCAUGGCCACUCCUUUGCAUUCUUGAUGUCUUGUCUAUUCCCUACAUUGUUUGCUGGGUUGGAAUCAGGCAAAAGGCAAGCUACCUUAGAAGUCAUUGUUCUCAUUCACCCUCAAAUCCUGGCCAGAUUUUGUGCUCUGGCCUAAUCAACAGGUUUCUAUUUAGACAUAAAAUACGACUGAGCUUAUCUCAGAAUAGCUGGGGCACAGUGGAGGCAGUUUAGAUUCGGAAAAAAGAAGGAACAGGUCAGUUAGACAGAAGGGCUGCCCUGGAUGGAGUUCCAUGAUAGGUCUUAGGAGCCCCAGACACCAGAGCCACAGCCCAUGAGAGGAGGGAAAAUGGUGGACAGAGACAAAAGAAGGGGAUGACAGAUAUGUACAGGGAAAUGGAAAGAUGUUAAAUAAAGACUUCAAACUUUGCCCAAGGCCCUAGUGUUGGUGAACUCACUACUUGCUUUUGAUAAAUGUGGGAGAGCUGCUGGUAUCUGAACUAAGAACAUGUCUUAGUCUAUUUGGGCUGCUAUAACAAUACCAUAGACUGGGUGGCUAAAACUACAGGCAUCUGUUUCUCACAGUUCUAGAGGCUGUGAAGUCCAAGAUUAAGAUACCAGCAGAUCCGGCCAGGCACAUGGCUCAUGCCUGUAAUCCCAGCACUUUGGGAGGCUGAGGCGGAAGGAUCACUUGAGACCAGGAG